GCACUGAUCAAGCUGAAUGGAUAAGGCACUGGCCUCCUAAGCCAGGGAUCGUGGGUUCGAUUACCAUCUGGGGUG